rnacentral:rRNA from 1 species
UACGAAGGGGGCUAGCGUUGUUCGGAAUUACUGGGCGUAAAGCGCACGUAGGCGGAUCGAUCAGUCAGGGGUGAAAUCCCAGGGCUCAACCCUGGAACUGCCUUUGAUACUGUCGAUCUGGAGUAUGGAAGAGGUGAGUGGAAUUCCGAGUGUAGAGGUGAAAUUCGUAGAUAUUCGGAGGAACACCAGUGGCGAAGGCGGCUCACUGGUCCAUUACUGACGCUGAGGUGCGAAAGCGUGGGGAGCAAACAG